GACGAACGCUGGCGGCGUGCUUAACACAUGCAAGUCGAACGGAAAGGCCCUGCUUGCAGGGUGCUCGAGUGGCGAACGGGUGAGUAACACGUGGGUGAUCUGCCCCUUACUUUGGGAUAAGCCUGGGAAACUGGGUCUAAUACUGGAUAGGACCAUGCUGUAGGUGGUGUGGUGGAAAGAUUAGUUUCGGUAAGGGAUGAGCUCGCGGCCUAUCAGCUUGUUGGUGGGGUAAUGGCCUACCAAGGCGUCGACGGGUAGCCGGCCUGAGAGGGUGGACGGCCACAUUGGGACUGAGAUACGGCCCAGACUCCUACGGGAGGCAUCAGUGGGGAAUAUUGCACAAUGGGCGCAAGCCUGAUGCAGCGACGCCGCGUGGGGGAUGACGGCCUUCGGGUUGUAAACUCCUUUCAGCCAUGACGAAGCCCUUGUGGUGACGGUAGUGGUAGAAGAAGCACCGGCUAACUACGUG
rnacentral:rRNA from 1 species